rnacentral:rRNA from 1 species
CCCUUAGAUGUUCUGGGCGGCCCGCGCACUACAAUGGCAUGUGCAGCGAGUGCCGAAGUAGAGUUUUCCGAGGUAUUCUUGCAAUGCUCGUUUUGAUGGGGAUAGACCCUUGCAACUGUUGGUUUUGAACGAGGAAUUCCUUGUAAGCAUGGUUUAUCAUCCGACGCUGAAUGCGUCCCUGCCCUUUGUACACACCGCCCGUCGCUCCUACCGAUGAGUCGUCCGGUGAAGUUCGUAGACCUCGUGAUCGCGGAUCACUGGGGGAAGCAAAAUGAACCUCGCGGUUUAGAGGAAGGAGAAGUCGUAACA